rnacentral:rRNA from 1 species
UUCCAGCUCCAAUAGCGUAUAUUAAAGUUGUUGCAGUUAAAAAGCUCGUAGUUGGAUUUUGGACAUCGGCCGCCGGUCCGCCGCAAGGUGAGUACUAGUGGGUAGUGUCUUCCGGCUGAAGGCUUUGUGUGCUCUUUGAGUGUGCAUAGAAUUCAGCCAAUUUACUUUGAAAAAAUUAGAGUGUUCAAAGCAGGCCUUUGGCUUGAAUACAUUAGCAUGGAAUAACAGAAUAGGACUUUGGCUCUAUUUUGUUGGUUUCUAGGACCGAAGUAAUGAUUAAUAGGGAUAGUUGGGGGCAUUAAUAUUUAAUUGUCAGAGGUGAAAUUCUUUGAUUUAUGAAAGAUUAACUUCUGCGAAAGCAUUUGCCAAGGAUGUUUUCAUUA